rnacentral:rRNA from 1 species
AAUAAAGGGCAAUUGUCUUGUAAUUGGAAUGAUGGUGACGUAAAAUCUCACCAGAGUAACAAUUGGAGGGCAAGUCUGGUGCCAGCAGCCGCGGUAAUUCCAGCUCCAAUAGCGUAUAUUAAACUUGUUGCAGUUAAAAAGCUCGUAGUUGAAUUUCUGCGUUGCCCGACUCGGCUACUUGCCUUGUCUGGUUUCGCUUUUGGGGUUUUCCCCUUUUUACUUUGAGAAAAUUAGAGUGUUUCAAGCAGACUUGUGUCUUGAAUACUUCAGCAUGGAAUAAUAAAGUAGGACUUUGGUUCUAUUUUGUUGGUUUGUGAACCUUAGUAAUGGUUAAUAGGAACGGUUGGGGGCAUUCGUAUUUAACUGUCAGAGGUGAAAUUCUUAGAUUUGUUAAAGACGAACUACUGCGAA